AAUCAACGCUGGCGGCGUGCCUCAGACAUGCAAGUCGAACGAUUAAAGCUCUCUUCGGAGAGUGCAUAGAGUGGCGCACGGGUGAGUAACACGUAAGUAAUCUACCCUCGAGUGGGGAAUAACGUCCGGAAACGGACGCUAAUACCGCAUAAUGCAGCGGCACCGCAAGGUGACAGUUGUUAAAGAUUUAUCGCUUGAGGAGGAGCUUGCGGCAGAUUAGCUAGUUGGUAAGGUAAUGGCUUACCAAGGCUACGAUCUGUAACCGGUCUUAGAGGACGGUCGGUCACACUGACACUGAAUAACGGGUCAGACUCCUACGGGAGGCAGCAGUCGGGAAUUUUGGGCAAUGGGCGAAAGCCUGACCCAGCAACGCCGCGUGAAGGAUGAAGUAUUUCGGUAUGUAAACUUCGAAAGAAUAGGAAGAAUAAAUGACGGUACUAUUUAUAAGGUCCGGCUAACUACGUGCCAGCAGCCGCGGUAAUGUAGAUGAU
rnacentral:rRNA from 1 species